rnacentral:rRNA from 1 species
AUUGAACGCUGGCGGCAGGCCUAACACAUGCAAGUCGAACGAGUGGCGGACUGGUGAGUAAUGUCUGGGAAACUGCCUGAUGGAGGGGGCUAACUACUGGAACCGGUAGCUAAUGCCGCAUACCAUCAGAUGUGCCCAGGUGGGAUUAGCUGGUUGGUGGGGUAACGGCUCACAAAGGCGACGAUCCCUAGCUGGUCUGAGAGGAUGACCGGCCAAACUGGAACUGAGACACGGUCCAGACUCCUACGGGAGGCAGCAGUGGGGAAUAUUGGGCAAUGGGCGAAAGCCUGAUGCAGCCAUGCCGCGUGUAUGAAGAAGGCCUUCGGGUUGUAAAGUACUUUCAGCGGGGAGGCGUUACCCGCAGAAGAAGCAACGGCUAACUCCGUGCCAGCCGCCGCGGUAAUAC